AACGAACGCUGGCGGCAUGCCUAACACAUGCAAGUCGAACGAGACCUUCGGGUCUAGUGGCGCACGGGUGCGUAACGCGUGGGAACCUGCCCUUAGGUUCGGAAUAACUCCCCGAGAGGGGUGCUAAUACCGGAUAAUGUCUUCGGACCAAAGAUUUAUCGCCUUUGGAUGGGCCCGCGUUGGAUUAGCUAGUUGGUAGGGUACAAGCCUACCAAGGCGACGAUCCAUAGCUGGUCUGAGAGGAGGAUCAGCCACACUGGGACUGAGACACGGCCCAGACUCCUACGGGAGGCAGCAGUGGGGAAUAUUGGACAAGGGGCGAAAGCCUGAUCCAGCAAUGCCGCGUGAGUGAUGAAGGCCUUAGGGUUGUAAAGCUCUUUUACCCGGGAUGAUAAUGACAGUACCGGGAGAAUAAGCUCCGGCUAACUCCGUG
rnacentral:rRNA from 1 species